ensembl:lncRNA
GUCAUUCCUUCUUCUCCCCUUUACUGGAUCUGGAUCUGGACACUCAUUAUCAGCUUGCGCAUCUAACUGCUGAUAUCAUGGUGCUACUUAACUAUCUUCGCAGCACCCCCUCUGGAAAUGGAAAUGCGGGGUCCGUCCGCCCCCCCGAUACAAAAUCUGCCCCGUGAACCCCACUUGAAGUACAUCGACAAUGUCUCGAGAGUCCUUGAAUGGAUGAAAUCACUGUGCCAGCGGUACAAGGUCACUCCGGCCAAGUUAUUUCUGACGCGUGUUUCCAAGUUCCUCCAUUAACUCGAUGAGUAACUGUCCAAGGGCCGAGUUGGCUCCACGAGGCUGUGGAGUCUCCAGAGACUGCUGCAGUGGGAGUGCAGACAUCUGUCCGGUCGAGUCGUGCUCCACAGGCAAGGCGUGCGAGCGGAGAAGAGUGAGGGAGUACUUACAGCUCCUGCACGGCAAACUGUUGGACGCUGUCCCUGUUUCACUGGCUGAUCUGAACUCGUCCAGCAGACCCGGACAUGCUCAACCAUUGCAUCGGGCUGCUGUGUGCUCACUUCUUUUCGGUCAGCGGACACAGGACCGGAGUCCUGCAGAACCUCACGACUGAGGAGUUUGAGAACCUCGAGAAGGCUGACUCUUUCUGAUCAAUGUGAUGCAGCACAAACCUGCCUCUGCUUUUGGACUCGCUAAGCUAGCCAUCACCAAGCUGGAGCUGAAGUGGCUGAAAGCUUUCUGCCGCCUGAGGAAGCAUAUGCCGGGAUAUGAGACUUCUGUGGGGUGGCUUUUCUUUUCUGGCACACAGGCCAGGAUUUCUGCGCAUGUCAAGCUUGCCCUGCGGGCACUCGUGGGAAGAGACAUCACUGUGUCGGACAUCCGCACAGCUCUAGCAACCUACCCCACUUGAAGUACAUCGACAAUGUCUUGAGAGUCCUUGAAUGGAUGAAAUCACUGUGCCAGCGGUACAAGGUCACUCCGGCCAAGUUAUUUCUGACGCGUGUUUCCAAGUUCCUCCAUUAACUCGAUGAGUAACUGUCCAAGGGCCGAGUUGGCUCCACGAGGCUGUGGAGUCUCCAGAGACUGCUGCAGUGGGAGUGCAGACAUCUGUCCGGUCGAGUCGUGCUCCACAGGCAAGGCGUGCGAGCGGAGAAGAGUGAGGGAGUACUUACAGCUCCUGCACGGCAAACUGUUGGACGCUGUCCCUGUUUCACUGGCUGAUCUGAACUCGUCCAGCAGACCCGGACAUGCUCAACCAGUUGCAUCGGGCUGCUGUGUGCUCACUUCUUUUCGGUCAGCGGACACAGGACCGGAGUCCUGCAGAACCUCACGACUGAGGAGUUUGAGAACCUCGAGAAGGCUGACUCUUUCUGAUCAAU